UACAUGGGGUGCAAACGUUGCUCGGAAUUAUUGGGCGUAAAGCGCGCGUAGGCGGUUACUUAUGUCGGAUGUGAAGCCCUACGGCCUUAACUGAGGAAGUGCAUUCGAAACUGGGUAGCUAGAGUACUAAAGAGGGUCGCGGAAUUCCCGGUGUAGAGGUGAAAUUCGUAGAUAUCGGGAGGAACACCGGUGGCGAAGGCGGCGACCUGGGUAGAUACUGACGCUGAGGCGGCGAAAGCGUGGGGAGCAAGACGG
rnacentral:rRNA from 1 species